rnacentral:tmRNA from 2 species
GGGGGCGAAAUAGGAUCGACGAGGGCGUAAAGGGCUCGCUUUUUCCCGGUAUUGUUCCGCCGUUAUCGGGCUACUGCAAUAGUUGCCAACGACAACUAUGCUCCGGUUGCUCAGGCUGCGUAACGCAGUUUGAAAGACCACUUUAAAGCCCUAACGGGUUAAGCUCCGUUAGGCGGGGUUCGGAGGCACCUGGCAACAGAAGCCUCCACU